rnacentral:ncRNA from 1 species
CCAAAGGCUCUUGUUAGAGCCACCACAUUCUCCUUUCAGAGCUAUAU